ACACGGUCCAGACUCCUACGGGAGGCAGCAGUAGGGAAUCUUCCGCAAUGGGCGAAAGCCUGACGGAGCAACGCCGCGUGAGUGAUGAAGGUCUUCGGAUCGUAAAACUCUGUUGUUAGGGAAGAACAAAUUUGUUAGUAACUGAACAAGUCUUGACGGUACCUAACCAGAAAGCCACGGCUAACUACGUGCCAGCAGCCGCGGUAAUACGUAGGUGGCAAGCGUUAUCCGGAAUUAUUGGGCGUAAAGCGCGCGUAGGCGGUUUCUUAAGUCUGAUGUGAAAGCCCACGGCUCAACCGUGGAGGGUCAUUGGAAACUGGGAAACUUGAGUGCAGAAGAGGAGAGUGGAAUUCCAUGUGUAGCGGUGAAAUGCGCAGAGAUAUGGAGGAACACCAGUGGCGAAGGCGGCUCUCUGGUCUGUAACUGACGCUGAUGUGCGAAAGCGUGGGGAUCAAACAGGAUUAGAUACCCUGGUAGUCCACGCCGUAAACGAUGAGUGCUAAGUGUUAGGGGGUUUCCGCCCCUUAGUGCUGCAGCUAACGCAUUAAG
rnacentral:rRNA from 1 species